rnacentral:tRNA from 1 species
UCUCGGAUAGCUUAACUGGGAGAGCCUUUGGCGUAACCAAACGAUCCGGGUUCGUGUCCCGGUCUGCUGUUCUGAA